GGAGAAGUGGCUCAGUGGUUAAGAGCACUUCCUGCUCUUCCAGAGAACCUGGGUUCAGUUCCCAGCUCCUACC
rfam:Mesocricetus auratus contig212405, whole genome shotgun sequence.